rnacentral:rRNA from 1 species
UACGUAGGGGGCAAGCGUUGUCCGGAAUCAUUGGGCGUAAAGCGCGUGUAGGCGGCUCGGUAAGUCUGUCGUGAAAGCCCCGGGCUCAACCUGGGAAUGGCGAUGGAUACUGGCUCGCUAGAGUGCGGUAGAGGAGAGUGGAAUUCCCGGUGUAGCAGUGAAAUGCGUAGAGAUCGGGAGGAACAUCAGUUGCGAAGGCGGCUCUCUGGACCAGCACUGACACUGAGGCACGAAAGCGUGGGGAGCAAACAGG